CAAAUAAGUAUGGGCUAUCUAGAGCUGAAGCAGCUUUUUAUCACAAUUGUGAGGUGAUGAGCUGAUGAUGAAAUUCAAUACCCUGAAGAAGGCAGAGUUAAAAGAUGGAAAGAAAGUAGUUUGUUAAGAUACCACUGAGCCACCAAACCAACCCUGGGACCAACUACUUUAAGACUUCUUGACAAUGAAGUCCUAUCAAUGUAACAAACUGGACAACAUGAACUGCUUCUGAUGAAUUAAGUGCUACCCAAUUAACUAAUCUACUCCACCAGCAAGUGGUAAUAAUAUAUAUGGACUUGAGCCAAAAUAGAUCCUGAAGACACAGUAAACUGCAUGAGCUUACUCUCUGCACUGCUGUUCCUCUUUAAUCCUCACCUAUGUCUUCAUGAUUCUAGACUUGCUGAAUUAAUGCCCAAGGGAAGAUCCGCAGCCAUAUUCCAUUGAAUCUGAGGAUGAGAGACUGGUAUGUGGCCUUUUAGGACUGUCAUGACUCUGGAGAAACAAACAACAAUUUAAGAGGAUAUACUGGAGGCGGUUCACUUAAUUUUGAAGCCAUGUGUGACAAAAUGUCAAGACAGUAUAGUGAUAGACUUAGGAGAGGAACGGACAUCACCCAGGAUUCUUGGGCGUGGAGCAGAUGCUGUUGACUGAGGAGAGUUUUGGAUGGUUUCCUUUGACGAAGAGAGUGUAGUAAACUCUGACAUUAAGAAACUACUAGACCAGAAAUCAGAGGAGCAGAGCCUGGAGGCCCCAACUUUUGUUGAUCUGAAAAAAUGAAGUUGCUUUCAACUGGAUAGUUUUGAAUCUCACUUGCCCGUAUGUCCCAGUCCAAAUUUAUUUUGGUAAUUUUCAGACUCACGUGUCUAGGAUAUUCCAUUUGUUUGUGUAUACAUGUGUA